ACGUGUGUACCUUGUCUUUUGUCAAUUUAUCAUCUUUCAUCUCGGUCAUUCUUGGCGGCACUUGCUGUUUGCAAAAAUGAGCCACCUUUUAGUUAGGUGGGUAAAUACCGGAAGGACUCGCGUGUAUGAUGUAGUUAGCCUAAGGGACUUGGUAGAUACUAAAAUAGGCGCAUUAAUUUUGCAAAAUUCGAGGGAUUCGAAUAUAUUCAACAAAGAAGUACAAGUCAGGUGGGAGGGAGAAAAACACCCAGCGAGGAUCGUGGCUAUCGGUAGCCCCGCGCAGAUGGAAAAGAAAUGCAAGCUAAUGAUCAAAGGAGCUUGCAAUGGAGCCGGUGACCAGGUAGUGGAUUAUUGUGAGAACUGUGCUGCACUAGAGCAAGAGAAGAAAUCCCUCAAGAGUGACAUCGAUCACCUCCAGGAGGAAAAUGCGAGACUAAAAGCCAUUGUGGACUAUGUGACUUCACAAAGAGAUGUAGUUGAUGACUGAAAAUCUCAACUGACUACAUUAAAAAAAUGACGUUGGCUAUGGAAACAGUGUCACAGUUUGGGCUGUGGAAUUUGUUUCCAGCUGGGUACCAAGAAGUUUGGUGGUGUGAAAUUUAUGCCGAAGACGACGCUUUCUCCAGCAUACAAAGAUGACACUCUCUGCCUGUGACGUCAUGCCAUUGGAAAGUGCGGUAAAAUUUAAAAACUGACGAUUGCGGUCCAGGACCUAAAGAACCUUCGUGAAGAGAUGGAGGACGCUCGGGUGCAGAGAGCGCCUGAAAACCCUGGAGCC